UGGGGAAUAUUGCACAAUGGGCGCAAGCCUGAUGCAGCCAUGCCGCGUGUGUGAAGAAGGCCUUCGGGUUGUAAAGCACUUUCAGCGGGGAGGAAGGCGAUAAGGUUAAUAACCUUGUCGAUUGACGUUACCCGCAGAAGAAGCACCGGCUAACUCCGUGCCAGCAGCCGCGGUAAUACGGAGGGUGCAAGCGUUAAUCGGAAUUACUGGGCGUAAAGCGCACGCAGGCGGUCUGUCAAGUCGGAUGUGAAAUCCCCGGGCUUAACCUGGGAACUGCAUUCGAAACUGGCAGGAUAGAGUCAUGUAGAGGGGGGUAGAAAUCCAGGUGUAGCGGUGAAAUGCGUAGAGAUCUGGAGGAAUACCGGUGGCGAGGGCGGCCCCCUGGACAAAGACUGACGCUCAGGUGCGAAAGCGUGGGGAGCAAACAGG
rnacentral:rRNA from 1 species